ensembl:snRNA U1 U1 spliceosomal RNA
UUCCUUCUGCACGCGCUUGAGCUCAUGCUGAUCACCGUCUUUAAAGGCCAGGGCGAGGCUCAUCCAUUGCACUCCAGGUGUGCUGACCCCUGCGAUUUCCCCAAAUGCGGGAAACUCGACUGCAUAAUUUGUGGUAGUGGGGGACUGCGUUCGCGCUCUCCCCUG